GACCUACGGGUGGCAGCAGUGGGGAAUAUUGGACAAUGGGCGAAAGCCUGAUCCAGCAACGCCGCGUGAGGGAUGACGGCCUUCGGGUUGUAAACCUCUUUCAGUAGGGACGAAGCGCAAGUGACGGUACCUACAGAAGAAGCACCGGCCAACUACGUGCCAGCAGCCGCGGUAAUACGUAGGGUGCGAGCGUUGUCCGGAAUUAUUGGGCGUAAAGGGCUCGUAGGCGGUUUGUCACGUCGGGAGUGAAAACUCAGGGCUUAACCCUGAGCCUGCUUCUGAUACGGGCAGACUAGAGGUAUGCAGGGGAGAACGGAAUUCCUGGUGUAGCGGUGAAAUGCGCAGAUAUCAGGAGGAACACCGGUGGCGAAGGCGGUUCUCUGGGCAUUACCUGACGCUGAGGAGCGAAAGUGUGGGGAGCGAACAGGAUUAGAUACCCCGGUAGUCGG
rnacentral:rRNA from 1 species